GAUGAACGCUAGCGGCAGGCUUAAUACAUGCAAGUCGUGGGGCAGCAUGAGUAGCAAUACUUGAUGGCGACCGGCAAACGGGCGAGGAACACGUACACAACCUUCCUUCAAGCGGGGAAUAGCCCAGAGAAAUUUGGAUUAAUACCCCAUAAUAUAUUUGAUAAGGCAUCUUAUUAAUAUUAAAGCUUCGGCACUUGAUGAUGGGUGUGCGGCUGAUUAGAUAGUUGGCGGGGUAACGGCCCACCAAGUCUACGAUCAGUAGCUGAUGUGAGAGCAUGAUCAGCCACACGGGCACUGAGACACGGGCCCGACUCCUACGGGAGGCAGCAGUAAGGAAUAUUGGACAAAUGGACGAAAGUACUGAUCCAGCCAUGCCG
rnacentral:rRNA from 1 species